UGCAACACUCUUGUUGUUGCGACUAAUGAAAUUUGGUAUGUUCAGCUUCAAGGGUUUAACAACUUUUCGAUGUUUGCGGAGAAUGCGACGUCACAACGUGAACAUUUCUGCAAUGCCAGCUCCUUGCUGGGGCAGAUAUUUAAAAUUUGUAGUUUGAGCUAUACGACUGGCUUCCUCAUACAUAAAGGGUUAGCUGACUGGGGUUGCACUGAAGACGGCUAUGCAGAUUUAGUUGCAUUGCAGUCCUGUUUACAACAUGAAAAUUUUAGAUCGUCAGUCGGUGAUUUUCAAUCGAGACCAAGUGAGG